rnacentral:piRNA from 1 species
ACACCAUAGAAUUCACUCAGGAGAGAA